rnacentral:rRNA from 1 species
GCCGGCAGCUUGCUCUCUGCAACUUUCACAUGAUUGCCCACUGAAGCUAAGCCGGGCUGCGUCCGGUUAGUACCUGGAUGGUAAACCACAUGGGAAAGCUAAGUUGCUGCAGGAA